rnacentral:rRNA from 1 species
UCAAAACUCGAUAAUGAUCCUUCC